ACUUGGGCGCCAUAAAAAAGAAAACACGGACAACUAAUUAUAUACACUUUCUAAUUACACUCAUGUUCCUCUCUACUAGGUUAUUUGGUGUCACAAACAUACAAAACUAUUCAGUUGGCUUUCCUAACAAAAUCCUCAAUCAAAUGCAUAGAUCAAACUCUGUAAUUUGAUUAAAUACACUUAAUCCAAUCUUUCCAAUUUUUAAGGUUUUCUUUUUCGAUUUUGAGAAAUAGUAUGGCGGAAGAAGUAGAGGUCGAAGAAGGAGAAAUAUGUCAAGAUUAUUGUGCUGACAUUGAUAUGAAGAUUGAAAGAUAUUUGAGUGAAUAUCGAAAAGAGUUUGAAGGAAUUGUUUCUUUUGAGAAUUUGGGACCAAGAUUUGGGAUGUACGGUACCUUUUUGCCCUGUUAUCAACGUCCCCCUUCCCUUCUAUUUCAUCCAACCAUUCAAAGUGUUCCUUCCGCUUCACAGUUUUCUUCUCAACAAUCCAAUAGUGUUGAACUUAAUCAUGAAGUAACAACUAGUUCCGUUGGUGGCCCUGUCUCUGUGCGAAAGAAAGCUGUUAAGAGAGUUGCAAGCCAUAGGGAUGAGCCACCAGUUUCUCCAUUCAUUAUACAAGGAGAUUGGAUUUGUUGUGGUCAUUGUCGCAAGUGGAGGCUUCUCCCAUAUGGUACAAAACGCGAGCAACUGUCUGAUAGUUGGCUCUGCAGUAUGUUAGACUGGCUUCCUGGAAUGGACCACUGUGACGUUUCUGAGGAGGAUACGACGAGGGGUCUACAUGCCAUAUACCAACUUCUCAUACUAAAUAACUUUCAGAAUCGUGAUGGCAAGGGCUCUAUAGCACAUAAUGGAAGGGAAAUUUCUGUAAAGAAAAGAAAAUUGAAGGAUCAAGAUUGUUUAGUGACUUCGCGAUGUAAUGGUAAUGGCUUGGGUGACAGUGAUAUUAAUGCUGUUGAUAGGGAGGUUUGCGGUGGAUUCAGGAAACUGAAGAUAUCCAAGAGGGAGUCCAGUACAAGCAAAGGUAAAGAGACAUCAAGAACGAGAGAUAGAGUUGCCAGAAUUAUACUAGGAAUCGAGGAUUCUCCUCCUAUAGACAGGAGUGCUGCUGACAGGGAACACCAGACAAAGAAGUAUAGAGUAGGGCAUCAAUCUCAAGAAGAAUUUGGCAUGAUCCGCAAGCAGGUUUGCAAGUUCCCCCGCAAGCAGACCCUUGGCCUUGGAUAUGGGAAGGAAGUGAGGACGUGCAUUGCAAUUUGAUGAAGAGGUGUGUUGUAAGUGUGUUAUAUUCCUCCUGUAGAUGUGUACAAAACUGGGAGUGAUUUUUAUAUUUCCUGAAAUUUUAGAUUCAACUUUUUGAUACACUAUAAUGAUUAGGACAUAGCCAACCUUUACAAUUUACAUGUUGGGGAUGAGAGGUGUAUAAAGUUUCAACUUUUCAAUGAUAAGACACGGAGUUUUCUUAUGAUCCAGUUUUGAGUAUUAGGUACUUUCUGUUGUGGAUAGUGAAAUAUAGGAGUAUGGAUAUUGAGAGCACUAUUGGAUCAUAAUGCACAAUUUUAGUGUAGUAGUUUAGUGGAAUUACUGUAUUAGCCAUUAUUAGUUCUUUUUUCUGCUUAUCUCUUAAACUUGUUUAUGUGACGGAAGUAUAUGAAAAUAAGCUACUGAUUCUGCUUCACAAGUUUAUUUUAUGUACUUAGACUGAUUCUGCUUCACAAGUUUAUUUUAUGUACUUAGAAGAUUACUUUAGGGCAAAAAAGAACCUAAGAUCAAGCCUAAUGAUAAGGCUUCUAAUCCCAAUUGAAGAACCAACAUAUUCCAGGUGUUAUUUAUCUAAUCUAUUUCAGGUGUUAAGGGUUGGGUCUCGAACCACAAGUUUCUUUAUAAUUAUAAUACCAACGAUUUCAGGACUUCAUUAAAAUAGAUCAUGAGUAGUAUAAAAUGACUCAUAUGGUUAUUUGGUUAAUGUUAAGGAUGGAUGUUAUUUAUUUUCUCCUUUUUCAUUGCUAAUUUUCAGUUCCCCUUGCUUCCCUAGAUGAAGAAAUCAGUAUUCCGUAUCUAUCAUGUUGCACCUUGUAUAGACUAUCUGCUGAUGGUAUGAUUCUAGAAAUUCAGCUCUGGAGCAAUUAUAGUUCUCAUAGACAAUUCUAAUCACAAGUGGCCUUAAGUUUUUCCAGAAUAAUUUAUGUCUCAGGUUUCAAGAAACAGAGAACUAGAGCUAUGAAGGGCGGUCUUUAAUUAUAUACUGCCUCAUCUUCAGAAGUGACAUCUGUGCUUUGAUCACCGUUGAAAUGCAUACUGGAUAUGAUCACUGGAAAUCAAUUAAAAUUGUCAAAUGGAGAAUUGAAUUUUCUUCCGACACUUCCAAGGGUUUCUGUAGACAAGAUUAAGAAGAUUAUGGAAGCCACAAAGCAUUAACUUGGUAAGUGAUGUCUUCUGACAAAAAUUGCAACACAAACAACAACUUUGCUUCACUUCCACUAUUUCUCGUGCUUGGUGUUGGAGUAUCAUGAAUGCCUCUGUUAUGAGAUCCAUUAAUUAAUAUCUGAGACUAGAAACACACAGAUAGCGAUUAUUCUUGUUUGCAAAUAGCCAAUUUGGGACAUUUGUAACAUAGCUGCUGUUAUCUAUAUAAGAGAUACUUUUUGACUAGAUUUUAGUGUUUCUCUGCCGUGGAUGCUGAAAUUUUUCAGCUGCCAUUUGUUUGCUUCAGUUGUGGAAUGAAUUUUAUCUUAAUUUCUUAUUGAUCAUUGACUCAUUUCUUUUAUGGAUCAUUCUCAGGUGCAAGUUGCCUAGUAGGAAAUGCAAAUGAAUCUACAAUUAUCUAGCCUGUGUUAACAGAUAGUUGCAAAUCUGAAAACAUAAAGCCUCUUUACUGUAGUGAUUUUGCUUCUGACGUUGAAGAUCCUUCUAUAAAACUUAGCCUUCCAGAGGCAAAGCUGCAGGAACUGUUGUGUUAAUAUUUAUUCUUGUCCUAUCAUACCAAUAAUCAGCUGAUGAAUUCCUUCUCGUCAUUGCGCAGAUGAUGGGAAGUAACUCUUUAAUCCAUGAGUUAAAUGAGCUCGGUUCGGUGAGCGUAUUUGUCAAAAGAAGGGGAAGAGGGAUUGGAAAACAAGAAGUUGAAAAUAAUGAAAAUGAUGCAGCUGUAAAUUGCUACAAAAAAGACUUUAGUGAAGAAGGAGAAGCUGAAAAUUUUAUUGAGUGUUUUCUAUUUUUUUGGAUGGUUACAAAUGCUCAAUAUGCCUUCUAUUUAUACUAGUUCAUGGAUGAUUCUAGAUGUCCUUCUAGAUAUAUCUACAGGAAAAAUCUAGUCAUCCUUAUCUUUUACUACUCUAGAAUAUCUAGAUAAUUCUACAAGAUAUUUAUUUAAGACACUACACUAGGAUAUUCUAGAAGAACCUAUUCCAAAAAUAUCUAAUAUCUAGAAGUUUCUUCUACAAAAAUAUCUACUAAUUAGGAGUUUCUAGAUAAAUCUUAAUUUCCUAACACUCCUCCUUAAGAUUUUUCAUUGAAACUCCCUGCAAUGACCUUUGAAACUCAAACUUGUUUGUGGGAAGAGCCUUGGGUAGAAUAUCGGCUUGUUGUUCUUCACUUCUGCAAUGUACUAGCUUAACUUCGCCAUUCUUUUCGGCAUCUCGCAAAGCAUGAAAUCUGAUGUUGAUAUGCUUCGUCCUUCCAUGUUGCACUGGAUUUUUAGCCAUAGCAAUGGCUGACUUAUUGUCCACAUAUAUCACUGUUGGUUCUUCUGGCCAAAGAUCCAAUUCAAACAAGAUUUUCCUCAACCAAAUUCCUUGAUUUGUAGUAGAUGCAACAGCCACAUACUCGGCUUCAGCUGAAGAUUGAACUACGAUAUCCUGCUUCUUUGUGCUCCAAGAAAAAAAUGCCUGAACCAAAUGAAAAAGAAUAACUAGACUUGCUUUUAUAAUCGUCCAAACAUCCACCCCAAUCAUUAUUUGAAUAGCCAAUAAGAACUCUAUUCUCCACACUUCUGUACCAAAUGCCAUAAUCAGUUGUCCCUUUAAUAUACAUCAACACCCUUUUAGCAGCUCCAGAUGCUUGGUGCUGGGACAUUGCAUAUAUCGGGACAAUAGACUGGCUGCAAACAUCAUAUUUGGCCUUGUAGCAGUUAGAUACAACAAGCUUCCAAUAAGGCUCCUAUAAAAUUUUGAAUCUGCCCGCUCUUCUCCAUCACCCUUCAUUAACUUUUCAUUCACAACAAGUGGAGUUGCAACAGGUUUUCACUUAUCAAGCUUGAACCUUUUUAAGAGAUUCAGGGCAUACCUCUUUUGGGACAAGAAAAUUCCUUCAGAAGAUUGAGAAAUUUCCAUUCCUAGGAAGAACUUCAUCUCCCCUAGAUCAGACAUUUCAAAAACUUUUAGCAUCGUAUUUUUAACUUCUUGAACUGCAAGGGAAUCUUCACCUGUGAUCAUCAAAUCAUCAACAUAAAUGGAUAUCACAAUUAACUUCCCAUCAGCUUGCCUUUUGAAGUAUAAAGUAGGCUCAUUUAGGCUUCGGUUGAAGCCUUGAGACAACAAAUGUGUAUUUAGCCUACUAUACUAAGCUCUCGGAGCUUGUUAAAGGCCAUAGAGAACCUUUUUAAGCUUAUACACCUUGUCUUCUUCACCUGCAACUAUAAAACCUUCAGGUUGUUCAACAUAAAUAUGUUCUUCAAGAAAUCCAUUUAGAAAUGCAGAUUUGACAUCUAAAUGAUAAAUUUUCCACUUGUAUUGUGCUGCAAGAGCGAUAAGAAAUCUUACUGUUUCAUGCCUUGCGACAGGAGCAAACGUAUCUCCAAAGUCCACUCCAGGCUGCUGGGAAUAACCUUUAACUACGAGUCUGGCUUUAUGUUUGAAGAUGGAGCCAUCUGGAUUGAACUUCGUUCUAUAGACCCAUUUGACACCAAUGACGUUCUUUUGGUCGGGCCUAUCGACCAGCUCCCAAGUAUCAUUUUUAUUAAUCAUGGCAAACUCUUCCUCCAUUGCAGUAAUCCAGGCAUUAUGACUCAUUUUUUCUUCAAAGGAAGAUGGUUCAACGAGAGCAAAAUUGCAUUGCUCAUAAACUUCAGCUAGUGAUCUGGUUUUCAAAACUGGAGAAUCAGCUGUCAAUUCAACAUUUGAAAGGUGUCGUGCUCCAGCAAUAAGACUGGAAGAAAUAUCACUUGUCUGCGGAUUUUGAGCUGCAACUGAAGUACUCCCAUCUUGUUUUUUUACAACAAUAUCUCGAUCCCAAUCAUAGUGGCUAGACUCGUCCACCGCAAAAUCUCUACUGAUAAGCACCUUCUUCGUACGAACAUUAUACACUUUGUACCCUUUUGCAGUUGUGCUAUAGCCCAACAAAAUACAGAGCUCUGCCUUGUUAUCCAAUUUGCCUCUUUUAGCAUCUAAAACAUGUGCAUAGCAGACUGAACCAAAGACUUUUAAGUGUCUCGCAGACGGUUUUAUACCUUUCCAUGCUUCAAAUGGUGUUAUGUCUUGGAGUGCUCUAGUUGCUAAUCUGUUCAACAAAUAGACGACAAUAUUGACUGCCUCAGCCCAAAAAUAUUUAGGCAUCUUCUUUUCUACCAACAUGUAUCUCGCCAUCUCUAUCACUAUUCUGUUCUUCCUCUUAGAAACCCCAUUCUGUUCUGGAGUGUAGCUAACAGUGAAUUGUUGUUGAAUACCCACAUCUUUACAAUACUUGCUGAACUGAUGCGAAGUAUAUUCAGUUCCAUUAUCUGACCUGUAUACUUCAACCAGCAGCCACUCUCCCUUUCUACCAUAGCCUUGAAUUCUUUGAAAAUAGAGAACACCUGAACUUUGCUACUUAGAAAAUGGACCCAUAUCAUUCGAGUUAGAUCAUCUAUAAAGAGAAUAAAAUAUUUAUUCCCACUCAAAGAAGCCGUCCUUAUUGGUCCACAUAUAUCUGUAUGAACCAACUCUAGUUUUUCCUUCGCCCUCCAAAGACUUCCUUUAGGAAAGGAUCGUCUAUGCAAUUUACCAAAUUGACAUGACUCACAAACAUCUCGGCACAUGCCAAUUUUGGGUACAUCAAGCACCAUACCCCUGGAUUGCAUAUACACCAAUGAACUAAGGUUGUAAUGACCAAAUCUUUUGUGCCAAAGCCAAGUAUCACUCAUUUCAACAUUGAAAGAGCAACUUUCAGUAGAAUAGCAUAAAAUUGGAAAAGAAUUACCAAUCAUGCUAAUUUUAGCUACUUCACAAUCUUUAGGAUCAUAAAUGACACAUUUUUUAUCCUUAAAAGUAAGUGAAUAAUUAUUGUGAAACAACUGAGCAACACUCAACAAGUUUUGAGUUAGGCUUGGCACAUAAAGAACAUCAUUUAUGAUUUUCAUACCUUUGUCCGUAGGGAAUUUCACUGAUCCUUUUCCUUGAUCUUGCACCAUGUACCUUGUGCACGCACUAUCGACAUACCAAUUAUAACGAUCAACACGUGAUGUGUGCAAAACCAUGAAUACCUCCUCCUCUGUUUUUUUUCAGGUGAUCUUUCGCAAAAUUUACUCGUUAAGAAGACUGACCAAUUUGAGUUUGCUUUUGCCUGCAAUACUUCUCAAUAUGCCCAUACUUCUUGCAGUAUCUGCAUUGAAUAGGAGAGCUCUUGGACUUCUGCCAGCAAUUCUUCUCCACGUGGUUUGUCUUCUCACAAAUACCACAAGGUGAAAAUUUUCCUCUCCUCGAUGAUUCGCCUUGAUAUCCACCAGAUUUCACCUCUCCAGAGUGGUCUGAAGAGACUUUUUUGCCUUCCUUUUGUUGCUUGAAUUUAUGCCUUACUUGAAAGGCAUCUUCGACUGUCCCUUCACUUCUCAUGGUUACCCGUUGCUUUUGGAUUUGCAAUUUAGAGAUCAACUCAGCUAUUGAAAGAGUAGUUAAGUCACAAGACUCUUCAAUAGUUGAGAUUUUUGAUUCAAACUUGUCCGGAAGGCUGACCAUGAUCUUUUCUAUAACCUUCUGGAAAGUUUUCACCAAGUAUCCUUAUUUGGUUCACAAUAUCCAUCAGCUUGGAAGAGUAUUGUUUCACACUAUCUGAAUCCUUCAUCUUCAAGAGCUCAAACUCCCUCUUUAAAGCUAAGACCUUAACGGACUUAACUCUGUUGCUGCCUUCAAACUCCUCCUUUAGCUUAUCCCAGUCUUCUUUGGCUGUCUGACAAGCCAUAAUCCUUGUAAACAUCACUUCCGUAAGGCUUGAAUGUAUGCAAGUGAGAGCUCUUGGAGAUCUAGUCACCAACUCUUCAUACUUUUUGAUAUCAUUGAGAGUUGGGUUGUCUCUCAAUGGUUGGACAGCAGGUUCUUCUCUCUCAACGACAUGCCACAAGUUGAGAGCCUUCAAAUAAGCCUUCAUUUUAAUAGCCCAAAUAUGAUAAUUCUCCCCUGUGAAAAUUGGAGGACCCGUUGCUGGUUGAUUUUCUGGUGCCAUAUUUUCCAGCAAAUAGAUCCAAGAAAAGAGCUUAAAAAAGAUGAGCCAAUCAAUAAAAAAAUAGAUUCAGAUCCCGUAAGAAAUGAGCUAUGAUACAAUGUCAAAAGAAGGGGAAGAGGGAUUGGAAAAUAAGAAGUUGAAAACAAUGAAAAUGAUGCAGCUGUAAAAUUGCUACAAAAAAAACUUUAGUGAAGAAGGAGAAGCUGAAAAUUUUAUUGAGUAUUUUCUAUUUUUCUGGAUGGUUACAAAUGCUCAAUAUGCCUUCUAUUUAUACUAGUUCAUGGAUGAUUCUAGAUAUCCUUCUAGACAUAUCUACAAGAAAAAUCUAGUCAUCCUUAUCUUUUACUACUCUAUAAUAGCUAGAUAAUUCUACAAGAUAUUUAUUCAAGACACUACACUAGGAUAUUCUAGAAGAACCUAUUCCAAAAAUUUCUAAUAUCUAGGAGUUUCUUCUACAAAAAUAUCUACUAACUAGGAGUUUCUAGAUAAAUCUUAAUUUCCUAACAGUAUUUGAUUUAGAGAUUAGUCACUUGGAUCCUUUCAAUAGUAGUUCAGCAAGCUUCAUACUAUCCAGGCAAGUAGGUCCAUUUUGCCAGGAGGCUCAGAAACUUGAACUAUUAAAGCUUCGAGUUCUAAGGGGAAAUCCAGAGAUGCUGGGAGCCGAUGAAUGGCAGAAGCAAGGAAACCAUACCCCAUACAUUUGGUUCUACUGGUCGUCUUACGAUUCUUGAUAUUGUUGAUGAUUCAGUAGAAUUCGCAAAAUCAUCAGACAAUGAAAUCCCAAGAACUAAUAAAUGUGGAUGCAAGUGGGCGGCUUCAUUUGUGAUGGAAUGCUUGGAUGGAUCCUAUUAAGAAAGUGAGAAGAAAGACGCAUCUGGUUGAAAGCACUCUGUGUAUGGUUGAUCCUGAUAUUGCUUAAGUAUGUUCGAGUCUCGCGGUACCUCAUGGGAUGUGUUAGAAAUCCAGCAGAAAGAAAACAAGAACACAGAGAUUUACGUGGAAACGUUGCAGGAAAAAUCAAGGGCAGAGUCAGAGGAGGUUUCACUAUGAAAGAAGUACAAUGUGGAGCGAUGUAAUUUCUGAAUUAUCAAAAUCGACCCACUAAUUGCACUUAUAUAGUAUAUGCGUACAAAUAGGUCCUAGGCCCAAAAACAUAAAGGUCCAUACCUACCCUGGUCCCACAGACCCCAUUGAAAAUCACAAACAUGGGUCGCACCGCGAAACUUUCUGGGUCGGAUCAACAAAAUUCGGGUCACAACUCUAACAGGAGGUAGCGACCAAGCUGCAGUGCCAGCAGGCUGCUGCAGUGGGAUACAGUCCCUCAACACAUCGGCUGGCCCUACUGCAGACUGACGGGAUGGGGGGUGGGGGGUAUGUUCCUGCCUGAAUUCAGGGGCAACAAGUCUUGGCAACAGUAUUGAUUCUAACAAGGCUGCUACACUUCUUAGCAAAGGUGGUGUCCCUUUUCCUUACAAGAUUAGCGCCAACAUUGCCUGCACUGAAGUCCAGUAAAUUUAUGUAAUAUAUGUGCUCUCUAUCUAGUCUUGAAAAGCACUACUUUAUGUGUAUCAUUAAAUAAUUUGGUCGAAGUGGCAAUGCAUUAUGCAUGUACUGAAGUUUCAUCUAUUUGAUGAUGACUACACAUGUAACACCCAAACUUCUAAAUUAAGAUCCAAACCGUUAUUCAAAUGCA